rnacentral:rRNA from 1 species
CCCAGACUCCUACGGGAGGCAGCAGUGGGGAAUAUUGGACAAUGGGGGGAACCCUGAUCCAGCGACGCCGCGUGAGUGAAGAAGUAUUUCGGUAUGUAAAGCUCUAUCAGCAGGGAAGAAAGAAAUGACGGUACCUGACUAAGAAGCCCCGGCUAACUACGUGCCAGCAGCCGCGGUAAUACGUAGGGGGCAAGCGUUAUCCGGAUUUACUGGGUGUAAAGGGGGCGCAGACGGCAGCGCAAGCCAGGAGUGAAAGCCCGGGGCCCAACCCCGGGACUGCUCUUGGAACUGCGCGGCUGGAGUGCAGGAGGGGCAGGCGGAAUUCCUGGUGUAGCGGUGAAAUGCGUAGAUAUCAGGAGGAACACCGGUGGCGAAGGCGGCCUGCUGGACUGCGACUGACGUUGAGGCCCGAAAGCGUGGGGAGCAAACAGGAUUAGAUACCCCUGUAC